UUUUUUUUUGAGAAGAAGAUUUGUCUGCUGCAAAAAAGCGAUUCCUAAUGACUUCUUCUUGCUUUAAUUAGACCCCUUCAUGCUGAGGGACAAUGAUUUAUAUGCAUAGAACUUAAAACUAGCAGGUUUGAUGACAGUGACAAUGCACUUUUCUGUUGGCUGAUACAUGUGGAGGGUAAAGUGAGGCAUUUAUAAAGGCUGUGUUUCUAUAACCUUGGUAAUUACCACAAUUUUUAGCAUAGAAACAAUUUAAGGGCUGCUAGACCACAGACCUUAGGACUGUAGUCUACGAUGUCUAUAGACUUCCAGUGACAUCUCUACAAGUUUAGCUGAAGUGUAUUACCAUAAAAAGAGAAAAAAUAAUUUGGUUCGAAAGAUCUUACCACUAAUUUGUAGAAGUCAUCUGAAAUAAAAGGCAUAGUAUAAUUAGUUUGUCAAUUUGGCACACUAUUGCUUGACAUUUGGGUGGCUUAGCUCAAUAUAAGCUGCAUAAUGUGGCAGAAAUUUUGAAAAAAAUUAUUGAAUUUCAAUUUUCAUAUGAUUUUUAAAAUUGAAUGUGGUCUGUACAGCUUUUCCUGGUAUGUGUAGCCCUGACUUCAGUGAGGUAUCUCAUGUUGAUAUAUCAACAUUUGUAUAAGGUAUAUUUCAUGCUCUGAGCAGCAGAAUUUGGGCCAUGCUGAAAACUGAUGUAACUCUCAUUUUGUUUCAUCUGACAGUUUGGCCUAUUGCUUUCCCAAAACUUUUAAAAGAGCAAAAUAGGAUUUUGUUUUUGUUGUUGUAUCUUAGUUACAAAAAUAAAGAGUUUCAUUUAGGGCACAGCAAGGAUUAGAUUAAGUGACACUAGUUUCUGUACCAAAAAUUUGAAAAUAAAGACAAUAAGGGCUGAAGGGGGGUCUCUUAGUAAUACUUUCCCUCUAGGCAACCACAGUCUCUAACCAGAACUAAACCAGAUAAUUGGAAUCCUCUCUUUGAAACACUGAUUUAUUCCCAGAUAGUCUAAUGAACUGCUAAAGCAUCAUAGGCGGGAAUAAAAUGUUACUAAAAUCUUGCUGUUCCUUAAACAGGAAAAAAAGAACAUUUGAAAAUAAGAGACAUGUAAACCUCAUACAAGGCUUAGCAAUUCAUAUCCUAAAAAGUAUUACUAGUCUCAAUAGGAAAUGUUUUAAUUGCCAUUUGACUUGAAGACCAACAAAAAUAUUAUGGUUUCACUGUCAUAUGCCUGCAGAGUCUGUACAGUAUUAAUUAAUUUUUGUUAUAGAGUUUGUAACUCCAUACUGGAACAAAAUACAACAACCAAACCUCUUGCUGAUUUAUUUAAUGUUAUUUAUUUUAUUAAUUAUUAAAUAUUCCCUUUCUGUUUCAAGCAUAUUAUAAUAAUAUGCCAAUAAUUCAAAGGAAAAUUAAUUGCUGAUUAUGUUGCAAAUAAAAUAGAAUAUCACCUCAUUUUAUGUACAGCAUAUUCUCAUUGAAUUUGUUUUUGGGAUACUGGAUGACACAACAUAUAGUUGAGAUGAUAGGAAAAAACCAACAGGAGGUAAGUUAAGGAAAGUGUUUGAACAUUUGUAUGAGAAAACAAUUUCUGAAAGUGGUAGUUCAUACUACCAGUGGUAGGGAAGAACAGGAAUACAUUGGGGGAACACAAACUUGUGUUGCUAUUUGGUGAGAUGACUGCAUGAAAAGAUGUUCAGCUGGGGUAUACAAUGAUGGCUACAUACAUUAAUCCCUUGGAAAUGAGUUAUGCUGAGGAAAAAAAAAAUAUAAUUACUUAGAAAGAAGUUAUUAACCUGACAUUUCCUCUUAAAAGCAGUGCUUGUGGUAACUGUGAAUCUCUAAUAAAUUGAGUUGUAGUAAUGUAUUCGUUUGACGAAUAGCUAGAAAUAGCUAGAAUAGCUAGAAAUACUUUACCAUGAAAUGAAGUUCAGAUAGUUGAUAUAGUCUGUGUUUACUGAGUAUUCACUCAAUUAGAGUGCUUGCUUCAAGUAAAGGACUGACAGGCAGAAAUCAAUAUGAGUUUCUCCCAGGUUGCAUAAGACAUGCAUGUGCAGAAGAGAAGCCUCUGCAUGUGCAGAUGCUGAAGAAGAGGUUUUGUCUCAAUCAGAUCAAUCAGGGCAUGGAAAAAAGGAGAAUGGAUGUGAAUCCAAAGUUUAUCAGAAUUUACUUAAAGCUUUAAUUUGGGUUAGAAAGUAACAUAUUGUUUGCCACCCAGUUUGCAGCUUGCUGACAAUGUUUGAAAGAAGGGCAGUGGAAGAGUGUGAAGGAUUCAUGACCCCAGAUACAUGAAUACUGGUGGAGAGGUCCAUGCUGUUAUGUACUCAGAGAAAAAAAUCUUUAUUCAUAGAAUCACAAAGUGGUUUGGGUUGGAAGAGACCUUAAAUCUCAUCUAGUUCCAACUCCCUACCAUGGGCAGGGGCACCUUCCACUAGCACAGAUUGCUCCAAGCCCCAUGCAACCUGGCCUUGAACACUGCCAGGGAUGGGGCAUUGUUAUAUUUGCAGGGAUUAGCUCUUUUCAGACUUGAAUUUUGCAUUCUGCACUCCCCCUUCUUCACAGAUACAGAGAGAGGUAUGUUUUCCCCAAACACAUGUAGUAGCUCCAGGAUGAGGACUAAGACAGAGAACUUUAUAUUUUUGGCUUAUUGAAACUCACUUAGAAGCAGAAAGCUCAUCUGUGUGGGAAUGGGCUGCAGACUGCCCUCACACAACAAUGUGAGAGGUGGACAGGGUUAGAAAUUAGAGAUUAUCCUGACUCCUUUCCCACUGCAUGAAAAAAACCACAGAAAAACAGAGACUGCUGCGCCACUUGUUCCCAAGUAACUCAGGAGUAUCCUGCCUUCAGGAGACCCUUUCUGGGGUGUGUUACGAUUUCUGCUUGUGGACCAGCCCUUGUUUCCCAAUAGGCAUAUAGCAUGCCUUUCCUGGGCCGCAGUCAGGCUGCUGGAAUGGGAUGGGCAUGUCUGAGUAAGUCUUCUCAUAUAAUUUAUUAAAACUAAAGAUAGAUGCAUUGUUCUGUAACAAAUGUUACUGACAAAGUUCCUUGGAAAUGGAAACUAGUAGUAUUAUAAAGUUCUACUUCUAAACAGAGAAAAAACAUGCAUCAAAUUAGCUACCCUAAUCCCAGCAAUAUUCUUUUUCUUGUCUUUCAUGCAAAGCAGAUGAAUAUUACCAUGUGAAAAAACUAAAAAUAUUUUGUAAACUCCUGGUCUUCAAAUUCUAUCACAGAAAUAAACUUCACAUCUUCAUCUUGCACAGGAAUAACCUGGAGACCAGCGAUAGCUUCACAGGAGAGUCCAGUUCUGCCUGCUCUGCUCUAGCCUGUACAACAACAGUGUACAACUGCUUGCAUUCCUGCAUUGAUAUUACCAAGUUACAAGCUGAUUGUAAGAUGUUAAAGGUUUUGAGUGCUGACUCAUAUGCAACCAUAACCAGAUGGUGCCACGGUUAGCCUACAGUGGUGCCACAAAUAUCCAAAGUAGGGAUUAAAUGCAAAGACUGGCUUUAUACAUUUGUUACUCAUGCCAUUACCCUUAUACUGCAGCAUGUUACUCCAAGGAAGAGGAAAAUGGAUGUGAAAGAAUGAUGACCGUAUCCUGAAUGACCACAUGGGCUGCAAAGCAUUACUGCAUGUAUUUUAUGCCAGUUUUCCUUAGGUUUGCCCAGUACCCCACUUGAUCCUAACUCAAUUGAAAAGCAGUGGCGUUUACUGCUAACUAUCCCCAUGCUUUCAAGCACCUCCAACUACCCUCCAGGUUCAUUACUGGUUUUCCUGUGUAUUCUAGCUCCACACUGUCUACUCUGAUUUGUUCCAUAUGUCUUAAACUGAAAUAUGUUGUGGUAAGGAGGAAGUCUGUAAUCCCUCUCAAGUUUCUGUUGAAUACUGCUUGAAUCUAUGUACUGUCUGUUGCUUUAUACUACCCUCCGCUAUAAAGUCUGUAUUGAAAUGGUCUAAAAUAUCAGCUGCUUCUUUUUUUCAACCCUUCCUUUGUCUUCUGAUAGUCGACCUUUUAGUAUCAAAAGUUAAAAAUCCACACUCUGGCUUCUAUAUAAAAUGCAAAAGAGACAAGAAACAUCGUGAAAUGCUUAAAGCUAAAUCUAUGUUUACCAUAGUGUUAACAUCAGUGUUGCAAUUACCUAACUGUGCUCUCAGCUGCAAACGUGAAGCAGUGCAGCUACCCUGCUACCCUGCUCUAUGCCAUUCCAGAUUUACUCCUGGGAUAACAGGACACAGACUGGGACAUCUCUACUGUCUACAAGGAAUGCAGACAUCCCUGCUAUUUCUGGAGUGCAUGACUUCAUUGUCAUGCUGGUAGCAAGAUAUUCCUUUCUGUACUCCCUUAUUUGAAAAAGAAAAGAAAUAUUUCUCCCUACAUUACUGCAAAGCUGAAUCAACUCACUGUUUUUAAAACUAGAUUUAAAAAUCACUCUUGCUAACAUAUUAAGCUAUUGUAUGCCCUUUUAACGGGCACAUAACAAUGUAUUUUUGCAUUCUCGGUAAGACCCACAGGGAACAUUAAGUUUUACCUUUUUUUGGGUUUUUUUUUCCUAUUUUUUCUUUUUUUUUUUUUUUUUUUUUUUUUUUUUUUUUUUAAUGAGAGAAGGCCUAUGGCUCUUGCAUUAAAAAAAAAAAAAAAAAA
rnacentral:lncRNA from 1 species